AUUGAACGCUGGCGGCAUGCUUUACACAUGCAAGUCGAACGGCAGCGGGGGCUUCGGCCUGCCGGCGAGUGGCGAACGGGUGAGUAAUGCAUCGGAACGUGCCCAUGUCGUGGGGGAUAACGUAGCGAAAGCUACGCUAAUACCGCAUACGUCCUGAGGGAGAAAGCGGGGGAUCUUUGGACCUCGCGCGAUUGGAGCGGCCGAUGUCGGAUUAGCUAGUAGGUGAGGUAAAGGCUCACCUAGGCGACGAUCCGUAGCGGGUCUGAGAGGAUGAUCCGCCACACUGGGACUGAGACACGGCCCAGACUCCUACGGGAGGCAGCAGUGGGGAAUUUUGGACAAUGGGGGCAACCCUGAUCCAGCCAUGCCGCGUGAGUGAAGAAGGCCUCGGUUGUAAGACGUCUUUCGGUCCGGGUAACGGAAAGUACGUAGGUCGUCGUAACC
rnacentral:rRNA from 1 species